rnacentral:tRNA from 1 species
GUCUCAGUAGUUAAGUGGUAAGAGUGCUGGCAUGGUAAGCCAGGGCUCUGGGUUCGAGUACCAGUUGAGACA